rnacentral:sRNA from 1 species
AGCGAUUCUGCUGCCACAACCUCCUGAGUAGCUGGGAUUACAGACGUGCACCACCAUGCCCAGCUAAUUUUUAUAUUUUUGGUAGUGACAGGGUUUCACCAUGUUGGUCAGGAUGGUCUCGAUCUCCUGACCUCAUAAUCCACCCGCCUCAGCCUCCCAAAGUGCUGGGAUUACAGGCGUGAGCCACCGUGCCCAGCCAAGAAUCUGCAUUUUUAACAAGCCCUCAAGCGGUUGUGACAGAGGAGGUCUAGGCUUUAAGAAACACCAGUGUAUGGAAUGGGAGUUUGGGGAUGGGGCAAGAGAGACAGGUCUCAGUGAUCCUGCCAGAAGGGAGAGGACAGAGAGGGGUGAAGACAAGAGACAGGAAGUGAGGGGAGUUCUUUUUUUUUUUUUUUUUUUCCCAAGGCAGAAGAAUUUUUCUUAGUACAGAACAAAUGAAAAGUCUCCCAUGUCUACUUCUUUCUACACAGACACAGCAACCAUCCGAUUUCUCAAUCUUUUCCCCACCUUUCCGCCCUUUCUAUUCCACAAAACCGCCAUUGUCAUCAUGGCCCGUUCUCAGUGAGCUGUUGGGUACUCCUCCCAGAGAGCUGUUGGGUACUCCUCCCAGACCGGGUGGUGGCCGGGCAGAGGGGCUCCUCACUUCCCAGUAGGGGCGGCCGGGCAGAGGCGCCGCCCCUCACCUCCCGGACGGGGUGGCUGGCCGGGCAGGGGGCUGACCCCCCCCACCUCCCUCCCGGACGGGGCGGCUGGCCGGACGUGGGGCUGACCCCCCCCACCUCCCGGACGGGGUGGCUGCCGGGCGGAGACGCUCCUCACUUCCCAGACGGGGUGGCUGCCGGACGGAGGGGCUCCUCACUUCUCAGACGGGGCGGCUGCCGGGCAGAGGGUCUCCUCACUUCUCAGACGGGGCGGCCGGGCAGAGACGCUCCUCACCUCCCAGGCGGGGUCGCGGCCGGGCAGAGGCGCUCCUCACAUCCCAGACGGGGCGGCGGGGCAGAGGCGCUUCCCACAUCUCAGACGAUGGGCGGCCGGGCAGAGACGCUCCUCAUUUCCUAGAUGGGAUGGCGGCCCGGCAGAGACAGUCCUCUUUCCAGACUGGGCAGCCAGGCAGAGGGGCUCCUCACAUCCCAGACGAUGGGCAGCCAGGCAGAGACGCUCCUCACUUCCCAGACGGGGUGGCGGCCGGGCAGAGGCUGCAAUCUCGGCUCUUUGGGAGGCCAAGGCAGGCGGCUGGGAGGUGGUUGUAGCGAGCCGAGAUCAUGCCACCGCAUUCCAGCCUGGGCACCAUUGAGCACUGAGUGAACGAGACUCCGUCUGCAAUCCCGGCACCUCGGGAGGCCGAGGCUGGCGGAUCACUCGCGGUUAGGAGCUGGAGACCAGCCGGGCCAACACAGCGAAACCCCGUCUCCACCAAAAAAAUACGAAAACCAGUCAGGCGUGGCGGCGCGCACCUGCAAUCACAGGCACUCGGCAGGCUGAGGCAGGAGAAUCAGGUAGGGAGGUUGCAGUGAGCCGAGAUGGCAGCAGUACAGUCCAGCUUCGACUCGGCAUCAGAGGGAGACCGUGGAAAGAGAAGGAGAGGGAGACCGUGGGGAGAGGCAGAGGCAGGGGCAGGGGCAGGGGCAGGGGCAGGGGCAGGGGUAGAGGCAGAGGCAGAGGCAGAGGCGAGUUCUUAAAGGGAAGUGAAAUGUGUCAAAAACAAAAUGUGUGUUCUUCAAGUUUGCCUGAGGCUUUGAUGGCGUAGAUAUUAUGUGGGAGGUAAUUUCUGUUUGUGCUGUCUUUGGCAUGGUCUGGGCUGUUUUAAAGUGUGCAAAGGUCAGCCUCCACUUCAGCUCAGCGUCCCUAUGACAGGCUCUAGCUUAGUACAAUAUUGCCAGUCCGCUCUGGAGUCCAGCGAUAGAAGAGGAGGAUAAAGAAGAAAGUUUUACAUUUGCUAACCACCUAUUCCGCCCACAUCGAUGGUACCCUGCUAAUUUUCUCUUUCUGCCGUGAAUGCUUAUGAUGUCAAAGUAGUCUUUUGCAUGGAGAGGAAUUUAAGCCCUGGGAGAAAAUAGGAUUUCCCCAAGAGAGAGCAAAAAGAAGAGGCCCGGACAUUCAGACAUUCAAUCAGGCAGGAUAUACUGGAUAUCUCCUAUGUGUAAGGCACUAUGUUGACCUUGAGGAUACAGGGGGAACAAGAUAGGCAUCCUUGUUGCCUUUAUAGAGCUUCUGGUUUGGUAGGGGAGACAGACAUGUAUCGAAUCUGUUGUACAACUAAUUAUUUAAGUAAAAGUAUGAUAAUUAUUAUAAAGACCUCAAAGGAAAUGUAUCAGGUGCUGUAAGAUAAUUUAACAGGUGGUUUUGCUUAGUUUGAGGGGAAAAACUUUAGGGGCAUGAGGAAUUAGAAAGAGCUAGUGAAAAGAAAGUGUAGCAGCCAAAGAGUUAGGUGAAGAAACAAAUUUGUGGUACAUUAAGAAACCAAGAAGGAGGAAUUUCCAGAGCAUAUUUGUGGUCAUGAAAGUCAAAUGCUGCCAAGAUGGAAAGGAAGAUGGGAGUUGAGACUGGUUUGCUACAUAUGGUGAUGAAAACUGUUCUAGAAAAGUUUCAAGUUAAUAGGACCAAACACAGCUUACAGGUGAUUAAAAAAUGAGAAGGUGGUGAAAUCCUAAGUACUAUAAUGAGCUCUUACACUCACUUUUUGGCCACUUAACAUGAAGUACUUCGUAAUAUUCUGGCUAUGCUUGCUUUGUCUCCCCAGCUAGAUUGACAGCUUCCUGAAGGUUAUGAUGAUAAACCUAGCCCCUAGCACUGUAUCAACAUGUAGCAUUAGAGUCACCACCUGGAGAUCUAAGACCUUGGCUCUAUCUGGUGCUGGUUCUGCCACACAGAAACCAUGUACCUUGGGCAUGAUCAUCUGUUUCCUCAUCUCUAAAAUGGUGAUAUUCCUAACUUUCCUAUCACUUGGGCUUUUGCAAGGAUCAAAUAGGGCAGUAUAUAGAAAUGGACUUUGUGAAUUGAAAAUUAGUAUUCUAUAGAAGAUAUUGAUAAUAUUCAGUGAAUGACAACAGCUGCUUUACAUCGGAAAUUCUGUGAUAAUCAGUUUUUUGUUUGUUUUAGAUUUGUUCCUUAUAUUGGAAUUGUGACGAUCCUCAUGAAUGACUAUCCUAAAUUUAAGUAUGCAGUGCUCUUUUUGCUGGGUUUAUUCGUGCUGGUUCAUCGUGAGUAAGAAGCCUGCCUUGCUGUUCCUGGGAAGAUGCCAUAGUUUUCAUUACUGGAUGUUUGGAGUAGAUACUGGUCUGUGAUUGGUGGAAUGGAGAACACACGUGUUGGUGCUUCUGGGUAGCACUGGUUUGCAUUAGUUUAUGUUUCCACGCCAGAGUUUGUGUGGGCGGGCGCAUGUGCACCACAGAGUGCACUCGAGGGGACUUUCAGUCACAGGAUUUCAUAAUUGUCAUUGUCACACUUUCAAAUUUUUGUACAUCAGUGAAUUUUUUUAUAUUAAAAGGUUGAGCCAAAGCCCCCAGUGUUUGUAUUUUGAAGCCAAGCUUCACUUCUAAAGUGCCUACAGAGACUUGUAAAUGAAAAUGCAGCUCUGCACGAGUUUGAAACCGUCAUACCUCCUUCUAUUAGGAAUGGCAUAUACUGAGGUGGUCGUAAGUCUUAACUUUUAAAAUUUUAAAUAAAAGACUUUGCACAUUG